UGAGCCAUCUCUAGAGCCCCUGCUUGGUUUUUUGUUUUGUUUUUUGUUUUUUUCUUGAUCACUGAAAGUUUCUCCGCUCCAGUGACCAGCAUCAAGUAUCACAGCAAAGCAAAGGUUUCAUCUAGUGGCCUGGUAUCUUGUGAACCACAGCUGAUUCUCCAAACCUCACUUAAUCAGAACCACCAGGAAGGAUCUUGGCAAGACCGGAGAGCCUGCUGAUACUCAGAAUGAACAAAUCCUUUAGGUCUCCAGUGAACCCAGACUUCAAAGCCUCUGAGGGUGCCUCGGGUCUACCAAGUCAACAUGUUUUCCUUCCCAAGUAGCUUUGGGGUCUCAAGUUUUUCCCAAUGAUUCAAGGAGGCAGAAGGUGGAGCACACUGUGUUCAUCAAGGAACAAACUCUAGUUCUGGAAGAAUAUUUUAAAAGUGCAAGUACCCAACCCAUGAACAAUGCAUGGCACCGGCUCAAGGAUUUGGAUUGAUGGAUCAAGAUCAAGAUCUGGUUCCAGAACUGAUGUGCUAGAGAGUACCAGAAGAAGGCUCAAAAACUACCCGGGAA
rnacentral:lncRNA from 1 species